UACGGGGGGGGCAAGCGUUGUUCGGAAUUACUGGGCGUAAAGGGCUCGUAGGCGGCCAACUAAGUCGGAUGUGAAAUCCCCAGGCUCAACUUGGGAACUGCAUCCGAUACUGGAUGGCUUGAAUUCGGGAGAGGGAUGCAGAAUUCCAGGUGUAGCGGUGAAAUGCGUAGAUAUCUGGAGGAAUACCGGUGGCGAAGGCGGCAUCCUGGACCGACAUUGACACUGAGGAGCGAAAGCUAGGGGAGCAAACGGG
rnacentral:rRNA from 1 species